GGUCCGAGAACAAGAGGACGCAGGCAGAAUUGAGUUUGGGUACCAUUUUUUUUCCUUUUUUUCUCUUUUUUGAAACAUUGGGGACAAUGUUUUAUUUAAGUGUAGGGGGGAAAACCUUGUUUCAGUCAUGUUUAUUUCCCUUUCAAGUAUGUUAUUUCCCUUUCAAUAUUUCCCUUUCAAGUAUGUUAUUUCCCUUUCAAUAAUAAUUUUUUUUCUUUCUUAAGUCAAGUCCCUAGUGUGAAAAUUCUUAUUAUCUAUUC
rnacentral:lncRNA from 1 species